rnacentral:rRNA from 1 species
CGAACGAGAGGAGCGCUUUUAAAGCUUAGUGGCGGACGGGUGAGUAACGCGUGAGCACCUGCCUCUCAGAGGGGAAUAACGUUUUGAAAAGAACGCUAAUACCGCAUAACACCGCAUGAUCAAAGGAGCAAUCCGCUGAGAGAUGGGCUCGCGUCCGAUUAGUUAGUUGGUGAGGUAACGGCUCACCAAGACUACGAUCGGUAGCCGGACUGAGAGGUUGAUCGGCCACAUUGGGACUGAGACACGGCCCAGACUCCUACGGGAGGCAGCAGUGGGGGAUAUUGCGCAAUGGGGGAAACCCUGACGCAGCAACGCCGCGUGAAGGAAGAAGGUCUUCGGAUUGUAAACUUCUUUUGUCAGGGACAAAUGACGGUACCUGACGAAUAAGCUCCGGCUAACUACGUGCCAGCAGCCGCGGUAAUACGUAGGGAGCGAGCGUUGUCCGGAUUUACUGGGUGUAAAGGGUGCGUAGGCGGCCGAGCAAGUCAGUUGUGAAAACUAUGGGCUUAACCCAUAACGUGCAAUUGAAACUGUCCGGCUUGAGUGAAGUAGAGGUAGGCGGAAUUCCCGGUGUAGCGGUGAAAUGCGUAGAGAUCGGGAGGAACACCAGUGGCGAAGGCGGCCUACUGGGCUUUAACUGACGCUGAGGCACGAAAGCAUGGGUAGCAAACAGGA